rnacentral:rRNA from 1 species
CUGAUUGAGAUUUUAACACGAAGUAGGUGGCGAACGGGUGAGUAACACGUGGGUAACCUGCCCAGAAGUAGGGGAUAACACCUGGAAACAGAUGCUAAUACCGUAUAACAGAGAAAACCGCAUGGUUUUCUUUUGAAAGAUGGCUCUGCUAUCACUUCUGGAUGGACCCGCGGCGUAUUAGCUAGUUGGUGAGGUAAAGGCUCACCAAGGCAGUGAUACGUAGCCGACCUGAGAGGGUAAUCGGCCACAUUGGGACUGAGACACGGCCCAGACUCCUACGGGAGGCAGCAGUAGGGAAUCUUCCACAAUGGACGCAAGUCUGAUGGAGCAACGCCGCGUGAGUGAAGAAGGGUUUCGGCUCGUAAAGCUCUGUUGUUAAAGAAGAACGUGGGUAAGAGUAACUGUUUACCCAGUGACGGUAUUUAACCAGAAAGCCACGGCUAACUACGUGCCAGCAGCCGCGGUAAUACGUAGGUGGCAAGCGUUAUCCGGAUUUAUUGGGCGUAAAGCGAGCGCAGGCGGUCUUUUAAGUCUAAUGUGAAAGCCUUCGGCUCAACCGAAAAAGUGCAUUGGAAACUGGGAGACUUGAGUGCAGAAGAGGACAGUGGAACUCCAUGUGUAGCGGUGAAAUGCGUAGAUAUAUGGAAGAACACCAGUGGCGAAGGCGGCUGUCUGGUCUGCAACUGACGCUGAGGCUCGAAAGCAUGGGUAGCGAACAGGAUUAGAUACCCUGGUAGUCCAUGCCGUAAACGAUGAUUACUAAGUGUUGGAGGGUUCCCGCCCUUCAGUGCUGCAGCUAACGCAUUAAGUAAUCCCCCUGGGGAGUACGACCGCAAGGUUGAAACUCAAAAGAAUUGACGGGCCCCC